CCCUUAGAUGUUCUGGGCCGCACGCGCGCUACACUGUUUGAUUCAGCGAGUCUUAACCUUGACCGAAAGGUUUGGGUAAUCUUCUAAAGUCAAACGUGAUGGGGAUCGAUCAUUGCAAUUAUUGAUCGUGAACGAGGAAUUCCUAGUAAAUGCAAGUCAUCAGCUUGCGUUGAUUACGUCCCUGCCCUUUGUACACACCGCCCGUCGCUACUACCGAGUGAAUGGUUUAGUGAGAUCUCCGGAUUGGCUCUGUAGGUCCCGCAAGGGAUUUAUUAGUAGCCAAGAAGCUGCUCAAACUUGAUCAUUUAGAGGAAGUAAAAGUCGUAACA
rnacentral:rRNA from 1 species